AACGAACGCUGGCGGCAGGCUUAACACAUGCAAGUCGAACGCCCCGCAAGGGGAGUGGCAGACGGGUGAGUAACGCGUGGGAAUCUACCCAUCUCUACGGAAUAACUCAGGGAAACUUGUGCUAAUACCGUAUACGCCCUUCGGGGAAGAUUUAUCGGAGAUGGAUGAGCCCGCGUUGGAUUAGCUAGUUGGUGGGGUAA
rnacentral:rRNA from 1 species